AUACGUAGGUGACAAGCGUUAUCCGGAUUUACUGGGCGUAAAGGGCGUGUAGGCGGUCUUGCAAGUCAGAAGUGAAAUUCCUGAGCUCAACUCGGGCGCUGCUUCUGAAACUGCAGGACUUGAGUGCUGGAGGGGAUAGCGGAAUUCCUAGUGGAGCGGUAAAAUGCGCAGAUAUUAGGAAGAACACCGGCGGCGAAGGCGGCUAUCUGGACAGUAACUGACUCUGAGGCGCGAAAGCGUGGGGAGCAAACAGGAUUAGAUCCCCUGGUAGUCCACGCCGUAAACGAUGAAUACUAGGUGUAGGGGGUAUCGACUCCCUCUGUGCCGCAGUUAACACAAUAAGUAUUCCGCCUGGGGAGUACGGCCGCAAGGUUGAAACUUAAAGGAAUUGACGGGG
rnacentral:rRNA from 1 species